rnacentral:rRNA from 1 species
GAUGAACGCUGGCGGCGUGCCUAAUACAUGCAAGUCGAGCGAACAGAUGAGGAGCUUGCUCCUCUAACGUUAGCGGCGGGCGGGUGAGUAACACGUGGAUAACCUACCUAUAAGACUGGGAUAACUUCGGGAAACCGGAGCUAAUACCGGAUAAUAUAUUGAACCGCAUGGUUCAAUAGUGAAAGACGGUUUUGCUGUCACUUAUAGAUGGAUCCGCGCCGCAUUAGCUAGUUGGUAAGGUAACGGCUUACCAAGGCAACGAUGCGUAGCCGACCUGAGAGGGUGAUCGGCCACACUGGAACUGAGACACGGUCCAGACUCCUACGGGAGGCAGCAGUAGGGAAUCUUCCGCAAAGGGCGAAAGCCUGACGGAGCAACGCCGCGUGAGUGAUGAAGGUCUUCGGAUCGUAAAACUCUGUUAUUAGGGAAGAACAAAUGUGUAAGUAACUAUGCACGUCUUGACGGUACCUAAUCAGAAAGCCACGGCUAACUACGUG